rnacentral:rRNA from 1 species
AUUGAACGCUGGCGGCAGGCCUAACACAUGCAAGUCGGGCGGAGCGGCGGACGUGUGAGUAAUGCCUAGGAAUCUGCCUGGAAGGGGGGGAUAACGUCCGUAAACGGGCGCUACUACCGAUUACUACCGGAUGAGCCUCGGUCGGAUUAGCUAGUUGGUGGGGGAAAGGCCUACCAAGGCGACGAUCCGUAACUGGUCUGAGAUGAUGAUCAGUCACACUGGAACUGAGACACGGUCCAGACUCCUACGGGAGGCAGAAGUGGGGAAUAUUGGACAAUGGGCGAAAGCCUGAUCCAGCCAUGCCGCGUGUGUGAAGAAGGUCUUCGGAUUGUAAAGCACUUUAAGUUGGGAGGCGUUACCAACAGAAUAGGCACCGGCUAACUUCGUGCCAGCAGCCGCGGUAAUUC